CCCUUUGCUACACCAGUCCACACAACCCUCAACCCCCCACGUGGAGUUCCCGUCCUCCAGUAUCCGGAUAUAGCCUAUAGGCCGCCUAUUUGUUUAACCACCCCUCUGUCAACACUGGCAGCAAAUCAGGGUUUGUGUCUGGUCUCCAACUUAGAGUGGCCUAUAGCUUAGCAGCAGAAACCUCUGUGUUGCUAUUCGGAGAGUACUGUAAGUGUGAAUAGGAGAGUACUGUACUGUAAGUGUGAAUAGGAGAGUACUGUAAGUGUGAAUAGGAGAGUACUGUACUGUAAGUGUGAAUAGGAGAGUACUGUAAGUGUGAAUGGGAGAGUACUGUAAGUGUGAAUAGGAGAGUACUGUAAGUGUGAAUAGGAGAGUACUGUAAGUGUGAAUAGGAGAGUACUGUAAGUGUGAAUGGGAGAGUACUGUAAGUGUGAAUGGGAGAGUACUGUAAGUGUGAAUAGGAGAGUACUGUACUGUAAGUGUGAAUAGGAGAGUACUGUAAGUGUUAAUAGGAGAGUACUGUACUGUAAGUGUGAAUAGGAGAGUACUGUAAGUGUGAAUGGGAGAGUACUGUAAGUGUGAAUGGGAGAGUACUGUAAGUGUGAAUGGGAGAGUACUGUACUGUAAGUGUGAAUAGGAGAGUACUGUACUGUAAGUGUGAAUAGGAGAGUACUGUAAGUGUUAAUAGGAGAGUACUGUACUGUAAGUGUGAAUAGGAGAGUACUGUAAGUGUGAAUGGGAGAGUACUGUAAGUGUGAAUGGGAGAGUACUGUAAGUGUGAAUAGGAGAGUACUGUAAGUGUGAAUGGGAGAGUACUGUAAGUGUGAAUGGGAGAGUACUGUAAGUGUGAAUAGGAGAGUACUGUAAGUGUGAAUGGGAGAGUACUGUACUGUAAGUGUGAAUAGGAGAGUACUGUACUGUAAGUGUGAAUGGGAGAGUACUGUACUGUAAGUGUGAAUAGGAGAGUACUGUAAGUGUGAAUAGGAGAGUACUGUAAGUGUGAAUGGGAGAGUACUGUAAGUGUGAAUAGGAGAGUACUGUACUGUAAGUGUGAAUAAGAGAGUACUGUAAGUGUGAAUAGGAGAGUACUGUAAGUGUGAAUAGGAGAGUACUGUA
ensembl:lncRNA